UUCCGGUUGAUCCUGCCAGAGGUUACUGCUAUCGGUGUUCGCCUAAGCCAUGCGAGUCAUAUGUAGCAAUACAUGGCGUACUGCUCAGUAACACGUGGAUAACCUGCCCUUGGGACCGGCAUAACCCCGGGAAACUGGGGAUAAUUCCGGAUAACGCAUAUUUGCUGGAAUGCUUUAUGCGUCAAAAGGAUUCGUCUGCCCAAGGAUGGGUCUGCGGCCUAUCAGGUAGUAGUGGGUGUAAUGUACCUACUAGCCAGCGACGGGUACGGGUUGUGAGAGCAAGAGCCCGGAGAUGGAUUCUGAGACAUGAAUCCAGGCCCUACGGGGCGCAGCAGGCGCGAAAACUUUACAAUGCGGGAAACCGUGAUAAGGGGACACCGAGUGCCAGCAUCAUAUGCUGGCUGUCCGGAUGUGUAAAAUACAUCCGUUAGCAAGGGCCGGGCAAGACCGGUGCCAGCCGCCGCGGUAACACCGGCGGCCCGAGUGGUGAUCGUGAUUAUUGGGUCUAAAGGGUCCGUAGCCGGUUUGGUCAGUCCUCCGGGAAAUCUGAUAGCUCAACUAUUAGGCUUUCGGGGGAUACUGCCAGACUUGGAACCGGGAGAGGUAAGAGGUACUACAGGGGUAGGAGUGAAAUCUUGUAAUCCCUGUGGGACCACCUGUGGCGAAGGCGUCUUACCAGAACGGGUUCGACGGUGAGGGACGAAAGCUGGGGGCACGAACCGGAUUAGAUACCCGGGUAGUCCCAGCCGUAAACGAUGCUCGCUAGGUGUCAGGUGCGGUGCGACCGCAUCUGGUGCCGCAGUGAAAACUUGAAGCGAGUCACCUGGGAAGUACGGUCGCAAGGCUGAAACUUAAAGGAAUUGGCGGGGGAGCACUACAACGGGUGGAGCCUGCGGUUCAAUUGGAUUCAACGCCGGG
rnacentral:rRNA from 1 species